rnacentral:lncRNA from 1 species
GAGAGGUGUUACCGGAACGGCGGCGACAAGGGUGUUCCCGAACUAGAGUGGGGCAUACAUAAUCUUGCUGCUAUGCUUCGAAGCUGUAGUCUGAAUCAACCUAAGUUUUAAACAGAAGGUGAACCUCUGAGAAAAUCAAGUAUAUUUUAAAAGAAGGGAUGUGGGAUCAAGGAGGACAGCCUUGGCAGCAGUGGCCCUUGAACCAGCAACAAUGGAUGCAGUCAUUCCAGCACCAACAGGAUCCAAGCCAGAUUGAUUGGGCUGCAUUGGCCCAAGCUUGGAUUGCCCAAAGAGAAGCUUCAGGACAGCAAAGCAUGGUAGAACAACCACCAGGAAUGAUGCCAAAUGGACAAGAUAUGUCUACAAUGGAAUCUGGUCCAAACAAUCAUGGGAAUUUCCAAGGGGAUUCAAACUUCAACAGAAUGUGGCAACCAGAAUGGGGAAUGCAUCAGCAACCCCCACACCCCCCUCCAGAUCAGCCAUGGAUGCCACCAACACCAGGCCCAAUGGACAUUGUUCCUCCUUCUGAAGACAGCAACAGUCAGGACAGUGGGGAAUUUGCCCCUGACAACAGGCAUAUAUUUAACCAGAACAAUCACAACUUUGGUGGACCACCCGAUAAUUUUGCAGUGGGGCCAGUGAACCAGUUUGACUAUCAGGUGAAAGAUAUUUUGUUGCUUUAAUAUUGUAGAUGUGCACGUAAUCCAUUCUUUGGAAGUGUCUCAUCAAGAAUACCUAAGAUACGUGUUUCACUUUUCAGACUUGUAUAAAUAAGCACAUUCUGUCUCAGUUAUCAAUUUUUGAGUAUUAAAAUAAUUAGAAUUUG